UUGAACGCUGGCGGCAGGCCUAACACAUGCAAGUCGAACGGUAACAGGAAGAAGCUUGCUUCUUUGCUGACGAGUGGCGGACGGGUGAGUAAUGUCUGGGAAACUGCCUGAUGGAGGGGGAUAACUACUGGAAACGGUAGCUAAUACCGCAUAACGUCGCAAGACCAAAGAGGGGGACCUUCGGGCCUCUUGCCAUCGGAUGUGCCCAGAUGGGAUUAGCUAGUAGGUGGGGUAACGGCUCACCUAGGCGACGAUCCCUAGCUGGUCUGAGAGGAUGACCAGCCACACUGGAACUGAGACACGGUCCAGACUCCUACGGGAGGCAGCAGUGGGGAAUAUUGCACAAUGGGCGCAAGCCUGAUGCAGCCAUGCCGCGGGUAUGAAGAAGGCCUUCGGGUUGUAAAGUACUUUCAGCGGGGAGGAAGGGAGUAAAGUUAAUACCUUUGCUCAUUGACGUUACCCGCAGAAGAAGCACCGGCUAACUCCGU
rnacentral:rRNA from 1 species